UACAGAGGGUGCGAGCGUUAAUCGGAAUUACUGGGCGUAAAGGGCGCGUAGGCGGUAAAUUAAGUUAGAUGUGAAAUCCCUGGGCUUAACCUAGGAACUGCAUCUAAAACUGGUUUGCUAGAGUGCAGUAGAGGGUAGUGGAAUUUCCGGUGUAGCGGUGAAAUGCGUAGAUAUCGGAAGGAACACCAGUGGCGAAGGCGGCUACCUGGACUGACACUGACGCUGAGGCGCGAGAGCGUGGGGAGCAAACAGG
rnacentral:rRNA from 1 species